UGUUGAAACACUGUUUCCCAUAUGAUCACUGAAGUUAUGCAGCAUCAAGCCUGGUCAGUACCUAGAUGUGUGACCACUUGAGAAUUCCAGGUGCUGUAA